rnacentral:rRNA from 1 species
AGAGUUUGAUCCUGGCUCAGGACGAACGCUGGCGGCGUGCUUCAUACAUGCAAGUCGAACGCGAAUCGGUAGCUUGCUACCGAGGAAAGUGGCGGACGGGUGAGUAAUGUGUAGAGAAUCUGCCCUAGAGCGGGGGACAACAGCUGGAAACGGUUGCUAAUACCCCAUAUGAGCGUAUCUGAAAUGGUAUUCUUGAAAACUCCGGUGCUCUAGGAUGAGUCUGCAUCUGAUUAGCUAGUUGGGGGUGUAAUGGACCACCAAGGCGACGAUCAGUAGCUGGUUUGAGAGGAUGAUCAGCCACAAUGGGACUGAGACACGGCCCAUACUCCUACGGGAGGCAGCAGUAGGGAAUUUUGCGCAAUGGGGGAAACCCUGACGCAGCAACGCCGCGUGAUUGAUUAAGCCCUUCGGGGUGUAAAGAUCUGUCAGUGGGGACGAAAUAUGACGGUACCCACAGAGGAAGCACCGGCUAACUCCGUGCCAGCAGCCGCGGUAAUACGGAGGGUGCAAGCGUUGUCCGGAAUCAUUGGGCGUAAAGAGUUCGUAGGUGGUUUGUUAAGUUUGGUGUUAAAUGCAGAGGCUCAACUUCUGUUCGGCAUCGGAUACUGGCAGACUAGAAUGCGGUAGAGGUAAAGGGAAUUCCUGGUGUAGCGGUGAAAUGCGUAGAUAUCAGGAGGAACAUCGGUGGCGUAAGCGCUUUACUGGGCCGUAAUUGACACUGAGGAACGAAAGCCAGGGUAGCAAAUGGGAUUAGAUACCCCAGUAGUCCUGGCCGUAAACGAUGGAUACUAGGUGUUGCGGGUAUCGACCCCUGCAGUGCCGUAGCUAACGCGUUAAGUAUCCCGCCUGGGGAGUACGCACGCAAGUGUGAAACUCAAAGGAAUUGACGGGGACCCGCAC